rnacentral:rRNA from 1 species
GCUUGUCUCAAAGAUUAAGCCAUGCAUGUCUAAGUAUAAACAAAUUUAUAGUGAAACUGCGAAUGGCUCAUUAUAUCAGUUAUAGUUUAUUUGGCGAUAAAAACUACUUGGAUAACCGUAGUAAUUCUAGAGCUAAUACAUGCAUCAAACCCCGACUUUUUGGAAGGGGUGUAUUUAUUAGAUGGAAACCAAUGCGGGGCAACCCGGAUUAUGGUGAUUCAUAAUAACUUUCGGAUCGAUCUUCGGAUCGAUGCAUCAUUCAAGUUUCUGCCCUAUCAGCUUUGGAUGGUAGGGUAUUGGCCUACCAUGGCUUUAACGGGUAACGGAGAAUUAGGGUUCGAUUCCGGAGAGGGAGCCUGAGAAACGGCUACCACAUCCAAGGAAGGCAGCAGG